UCUGCCCUCAGGAGCCCCAGCAGUCCAUAGGGCUGCCAGCACAACAGGUUCUUUCUAAUGCAGAGGAGGAAGGGUUAAAGAAGAAGCAAUCACUGUGGCAGUCCCACACCUGGUGGGCCUGCAGAAGGGUAUGAAAGGCAACAGGGGAAGGGCAGCAAGUGCUUUGGCCUCUUGUAAAGGGGGGGAAGCUGCUGCAGCUCACCAGCCAAGAGCAGCAUUUCUACAGGCAGCAGCUCUGAGGGGAAGGCAGCUGCUUCGUGUGAUGAGGGCACGGCUCAGACUGAAGUAAGUGCGCAAUGUAAGACACGAAUUCUGGUGCACUCAACUUGUUUGACAGAAGCAGCAACCUUUCAGGCAGAGCAGCUCUUCCAGCUCCUCGGGUUAUUCCCUGUGGUGCCCUUCAAAGCUGUUUCCUGAGCGUGGUUAACCUUCCUCUGCCCCUUACAUCCUCCCUUUUGAGGUAUUGCUUUAGUUUUUCCAGCAAUGAGAAAAUGAAACGUAAGGAAAUCUUUGCUGACUGCACUACUUUGAAAUGAGCUGUACCAGCAGCUUCUAAAAUUUGCUAUACCUGGAACUGGCAGGUUAUCAGUGCCUCCUAACCAAAGUGCAAGUAGCAAUGCAGCCCUGAAGGGUUUGGUGCUGCCAACAUGGCUUGUUCAUAGGAAGGAAGAGAGGCAAAGAGCUCCAGGACAGCGUCACCUCGACAUUAUCACUGAAUACCAAGAAGCACAUGGUGAGUGUUCUGGGUUUCCCUUCUUUGUUUUGCAAGAGGACACCUGAACAGAAGGCCACCAAGAUCCCCAUGCACCCACAUCUUUCACUGUAUUUCCACUUGGAGUUUCCAAACCAAGCAUCAACCCACGCUAUUAUUUUACCCAGUCUCAUUUCUUACCCUUGAUGGUAAGACUAAGAGAGUAACAAAGAGUCAUUAGUCAGCCUGGACCACAGGAACUGGACCGUCAAGUAAUGAAUGGUUCCUGGUAAAACUGCCAUUUUCCAUUGCAUCACUUCUCAUGCUAGGCUUGAGGAGCUUCAACCAGCUUGUUAGAGGGAGGCCUUCUGCAUUAAUGAAGAUGAGGACACAACAUUGAUAACACAGCAGCGAGAGGGUUUCCUAUUUUGCUGACAUGUUUGGAACAGUAUCAAUCUCUACAGCAGCUUUGUUUCUAAAACCAAAUCUGAGCACUUCCUACUAAGCAGAAGUACUCCAUCCAUCCUAAGGAGCAAACCAAUGCUGGCCAGGCCAAGUAGCUGCUGUCUAAUAACUCAGUGGCACAGAAGCAGGCCUAUGAACUUUCUACCCUAGUAACAGACUUGAGGCCUCACCUCGAUGGACCACCUAGACUUUCUGCUGACAUGUGUGCAACCAUAAAAACCAUCGUCUGAAAAGGCUUUGGACAGCUCACAUAUGGCCUUGGUAAAAUACAGGCAGCCCAACUCCAUGUUAUUCCUAGGUGUUCCUCUCCUGCAAGCAAGCAGCCUCUUAAUAAUGUGGUUUGUUUGAGCUGAGCACAGAUCCAUAAUUAGUCUCUGGGCCUCCCACAGUGGUGUGAGGUUUAAGUACCGUAAACAACCCAUUGAAUAAUGCCAAGAAAUACAGCUCCAAGCCAGGCAAUUGGGAUGGGCAAGGAAUAGGUUUCUAUUUAUGGUCUCAAGCUGGGAGAGACAGAAUGUGGGAGGAGGCAUGAGAGUCAGUGACAACAUUGCAUCAUGAGGAGUCUGCAUCAUAAAAGCAUGUUGCAAGCCAAGCUGGUGUGCUGCCUUCCCUCAGGUAUCAAUGCAUCUGACACAGGAAAAGGUUAACAACUGAUCUCUGGUACUGGAGAGUCCAAAAGCUCUCCAUAUAGCUCACCUUUUAAGAAGAGAUUGAUUCUAAACCUGGCGAAGAGCUGCAUGAGAUGCUCCUCCACAUUCAUUUCAUGGUGAAAGCAGUGGGUGGUGGCACAGAAGACAUGUUUUUGAGCUGGUUUGAGAUGGAAAGCCAAGUGAAGGCAAUACCUGGUCAGACUGACUGACAGACAGACAGAUCGACCUCGGUGGUGUCCGUCAGCACAUCUCCUUGCUGUCAGUGACUCUCCCAGCACACCACUGCCCUCAGCAUCACCCACUGCAGAACUUCCCUACUUGCAGCUUCUUCCUGGUAAAGAAACAUCAUUCUGAUACAGAAUUCAGAAUGGAAUAAAUCAAGCUUAAGCAACACUGGUAUCCGGAAAGAAGCAGAGAGACCACCAGCUUUAGGUGCUCUAUAUUACAUACCUCCUUCCAUUGAGUACAGAGGUGAUGAUGAUGGUCUGAUUUUUGUUCCUCUGAAUUCUGCCUACAGUAGACUACAACUUGCUCCCACAAGGGAGAUUUAGGAAAAGGAGUGCUAUGAAGGGACACCAGCAGAGAUAACUGGGAAACCACACACAUGUAGAUCAAAAGACUGUUUAACAUUCUUCCUCAAAUCGUGGUGAGUUCCAGUAAAGCUCUCCAGUAUAAAGAGUAAGGAUUAGGUCACCCAGCCCUACAGGAAAGGUGGGCUGGCCAAACGUUAUGACAGCUUACAGCAAGUCAUCUAGGUUUAUUCAAGCAGCACUCUGGGGGAGAAACAGCUUAAUGUGAAUAACACUUCCAUGGAAUUCCUGAGGAGUCAUUAUUCUGGCCAGAUCAAAGCUGAGAUACUAUCUACUUCUACGCAGAUCAAAUGGAUUGCUAUUUACUCACCCAGUGUGAAGACAAGCAUUUGAAGUAAGAGUCCUUCUACAAAAAGACUACUUGAAAACCCCUAAGCAAGCCAGAAAUACCUACACUGAUGUAGCCUGGCUGCUGGGAGGGUCAUUUUGCAGAUGUAAAGCAGCAACUGAUCAGCCCUUGGAGUCAACACGACAUACAUGUCCAGGCUACUUUCCAAGUGACAUAAUGACUUCCAAUAAGAAGCACUGCAGUGUUAGGAUCUCUCCUUACGCUCAGCACCUGGAACAAUGAUCGCAUUGAUCUACUCCUCAGCCAGCUUUCUGAGGUUUAUUUUUAGCCUUUCCAGUUACAGGGUAAGCUUAGAAGGAGAGAGUAGAGUCUAACUUACCAACCUGCAAUCUCAGGAGUCAAAACGUCAAUCUGCUACAUCAGUCUGAGCUGAUGUCAGGAGCUGAGCCCAAGUGGCUGUACUGGUGAGCACCUUGUGCAGCUGGCACUGCUUACCUGCUGAGAGAUGUUCGGAGGGUGCAGCUCCCCAGGUGAGCUGAUAGAGCUUCAGUUUCCAGUACAUGAGUUUAAGUCUUUAAUACGAUCCCAGAAUGCUUGUUAGCGCAGAUGAGACUGCUCAGUUCUAUCCACCCACUGUGAAUAUGCAGCAACUGCCAAAGCUACACAGUGCUUCUGGUUUAAACAAAGUUCUCGAGCUAAAAAUAAAUCAUGGGGCUGUCAGCCUCAAUUGUCAGCCACCGAGAUGCUGCUCAAGCAAUUGUCCGCAGCCAUUUUCUUCCCAUGGAUGAAGAAGAGUUUGUAAAAUAGUUACUAUAUAUUUAACUCAAUACUUAUCAUCUCACUUCCACGGAAUACAUGGGCCUCAGAAAAUGAGUCAGUGCUUCCUUUUAUCCAAGAGAUGCCUGUCCUAUGUGUGCUCAAAAUGGCACACUGUCCUGACUGCAGCCCUUCACAUGGAGCUGAGCCCAAGCUCUCCUGCUCCUUCUCAGCCCCAACCCACUGCUGUGCGGGGCAGUGUGAAUAAGCACGGGUGGUGAAGUCAGAGAAACACGUCCAUCAACCUAAACUUAGCAACUGGCUGCUAUUCCACUUCCCCUUGGCUAAACCCAGCCACUUGUAAUUGGCUCUGCUGAGCAGACAAGGGGCUCCAUUCAGCAGGGCCGCUCCCAACAGCUGCCAAAUAACUGGGGUAACACAAACCCACACGAUUCCUACUGAGGGCAGACAGCUUGUCAGUCCCAGGCUGUGCUAUACAUUUGUUUUUAAGAUGGACUAACAGUGGUGUUUAGCCCUCGUGUAUCCAGACCUAGUAUUAAAAACAAGAAUGCACUCACUGAAAUUACGCUUCCUGAAGAGUCGUUCUGGAAUCAGGAAGAAUUAAUGCAGCUUCGAAGGGAAAGAGUCCUUCAAAGACAGGAAGGCUGAACAAGUCCUGUACUCUUAAUCUAAAAGCAAUCAAAGCUGCAAGAAGUCACAGUUAGAAUUGCAGGCAUAUUGGAGCUAAAGGAACAACAAAGUCUCCUUACUCAGCUCACCGGUAGCUGCAUUCCUCACACUUGUUCAUACAGCAAAAACGUGAAUGCAUUCCAGCAAGACAUAUAACUGGUGCUUAAGUAUGCUGUAUGGUUGGCUUUGGUUACCAAAUACUGCUAUCUUGUGGUGAGAAGACAUUGUAAGGGAAAAUGCUGAACUGAAAGAGCAGUGCAAGAGUGCACAGUUGGAUCUAGGAAGAAUAGUGCAGAUAAUGGGCGACCUGAAUAUGCCUCCUCUGGCCUCUGGGUGACACCUCUCCCAACGCUUCAUUUACUCUGUGAACUAUAUAUAUUCUGAGGGAGGAAGGAAGAAGGAAAGGGCCGGGAUUUCCCAGUGGGAGGCCAGCACUGCUGCUGCCUCAGCAUCCCGUUUCCUCUCGCUCUGCAGAGCAGUGGUUACCCCUACCCAGCACCCACCCAUGACCUGAGGCAGAAAAUAAGAGCUCAGCUUACUGACCUUCAGCUGUGCUCUGUUUCACAGCAAGGUCUCUGCCAGUCGUGCCCCACAGCUCUGAGGAUACAUGUAACUGCUGCUUCAUUUGGGAGUUGUUUUAGGAGAUGUAAAUCAAGACCAAGGUGUAGCCGUGCCAUCCAGAAGGGAGCCUCACCCAGUGCCCCCACACCUCCUGCUGCCACAGCCCAAGAAAGAUUCCUUUAGCAUCUUACAUUGAGAUUAUCUUCUAAUUUGACAGAGUUCCGCCUCAUUCCUUCUUCCUCCCACUCCACAGAAAAGCAUUCCCAGUUGUUGCUGGCCCGUGCAGGUUUUCAGGACAGCUGACUGCUUGGGUUACACAGGGCUGCAUUGUAUCCCUCCAAGAAGCAGCCACACUAAGUGCUUCCUCUGGGAUCAGGGCUCGGACCGGGCUGACAGCAGCACACCAGGUGCUGUCUUAAAAGCUGAAAUUCCAAAGCAACAGGCAGUGCUGCAACUGCUCCUCUCAAAAUCACUCUCCCUCUUGAGCCUCUUUGAAGCAAACCUAUUCCACAUCUAGCAUCUGAGUGACUAAAGCACCCACAAGGAACACAGCACGCAAAUGCAGCAAUGAAA